rnacentral:rRNA from 1 species
AAUGAACGUUGGCGGCGUGGAUUAGGCAUGCAAGUCGUACGAGAAUCGUAGCAAUACGAGGAAAGUGGCGGAAGGGAGAGGAUUACGUGGGAAUCUACCCUCAGAACUGGGAUAGCGGCGGGAAACUGCCGGUAAUACCAGAUAAUGUCUGUGGACCAAAGGUGUGAUUCCGUCUGGGGAUGAGCCCACGUCCUAUUAGCUAGUUGGCAGGGUAAUGGCCUACCAAGGCAAUGAUGGGUAGCGGGUGUGAGAGCAUGACCCGCCUCACUGGGACUGCGAACUGCCCAGACACCUACGGGUGGCUGCAGUCGAGAAUCUUCGGCAAUGAGCGCAAGCUUGACCGAGCGACGCCGCGUGCGGGAUGAAGGCCUUCGGGUUGUAAACCGCUGUCGUAGGGGAGCAAGAGAUGAGGGUACUCCCUCUGAUUUGAGCGAUCCUAGGAGGAAGGACGGGCUAAGUUCGUGCCAGCAGCCGCCGCCGUAA